AUAUGUUAGAACUUUUCAGUUCUGGAAGGUGCGAUACUACAGAGAAUGAAAUUUCGAUUCAGUUAAAAAAAAAAAUAUUUCUGGAUUUUCGCUGUGAGAAUUCCGUCCAAAUUGCGUGGUCAUUUUUCGUGUUGCUCUUGCCAAGACAAAACCAUUGAUUCAAGUGUUUCUCAAGUUUUCCUCGUUGUUGCUGAUAAGAAGUUACGGACUUGUGGCUUGGUUCAUCGUGU